CUGAGGGCCAGGUUGGGUUGCAAAACAGUAUGUAGGGCUGGGUAGGGAAGGCUGUGCCUCCCCAAACAGCCUGGCCCCCGCCCCCUAUCCACCCUAUCCCACUUCCUGCCACCUGACUGCCCCGCUCAGAAUCCCCAAUCCAUCCAACCCCCCCACUCCUUGUCCCCUGACUACCCCCUCCCACAACCCCCUGCC